GAGCUGCCCAAUAAGCAGCCUUUCCCCCGACCUCCCCUCCCCCACGCUUGCAGGGCCGCGCCCCCCGGGGCCUGCAGGGCAUCCUCUGAUUCAUUCCAGUCACCCCGGCUGCCCGCCCUCCAGGUGCCAGGGCUUGAUGAAAAGUAAAAGGCUCCUCCGCGGCUCGAGAGCCGUGAGGAUGAAAGGGGAGCAGCCGCCUCCCAGACCACACAACUAAUCCUCCCAUAAACCUCGAGCAAAUAAGGGGAGAGGAAGAACAGGCCGGCUACAGAUGUGGAGUGCAGCCUCCGGGGAUCCCCAAAUGAAAACUCGUGCAGGGGAAACCCUUGGACCACAACCAAAUGACACUAAUUAGGUUAUGGGUCCAUAAUCUUGGCUGGUAUUUAAAAAACAAAACAAAAAAACUGUUGUCACAGCUUCAAGAACUGUCUUCAUAAAAAGAAGGGGGAAAGUCCGCUAUUUUUUUACGCAUAAGCAUGAAAGAAGAGGAUUCGCGGGUCUCCUGCCUGCAUGGUGCAGGCAGGCUGGUUUCUUGAAGAAGAGGACAGUCUUGUGCCAGGGGAAGCCGCGUUGUGCCUGGCUGGCUCCGGUCUUCAGACUUUUCCUUAAAGAGAGUGGAUUCACUCUGCAGCGUACAGGAGCACCAUAUUUCUCAGACUUCCUUCACUGUACUGGAUCAGAGGUCAACCCUCCAACCUUUUGCCAAAAUCCCUUGCAUAGCCUGUCAUUCUCUAUCUUUUCCUUAUUGUGCACACAGGUGUGUUUUGAGUUUUGAAAAUGGUAUAGAUGUCUGAGUGCUAUGCCAAGUGUAUUUCAGAGAGAUCAACUCAUCUCUUGAUUGAGAAGACACCAGGUUCUUACCACGUCUGAGCUUAGUUCAUUGGUCGUCUUAGAAGGUAUCUGAAGAAAACCACUGUGUCUAGAAGCAUCAAAGAUGGGUUCAUGUGUAUGCUGACCAGAGGAAGCAGUGGAGAAUCACAUGCCUGAUGCCUGGACUCAGCUGCUUCCACGGACAGAUCUGGAUAGAGGCAAUGCCUGCCGAAGACCAGGCUGCUUUGGGCAGCACAAGACUGUAGGAUUAGGACUGUAGGGUACCUAAGGUACUUUCCCCCAAAGUUCAGAUAUUUGUCUGUUGUUCUGGAGACGUUGGCAGAAACCAAGAUCAUAACUUAUAUCUCUGCAAGUUCUUUCAUAUGCAGGUUCUCCCCACAGGGGUUGAGAAAUAUGAGAAAUUUCUAUCUGUGGCCAGGUGCAGCUCCCAGCACUUUGAGAGGCAGAGGUGGGGGAUCACGAGGUCAGGAGUUUAAGAUCAGCCUGGCCAACAUAGUGAAACCUCAUCUCUACUAAAAAUACAAAUAAUUACCAGGUGUGGUGGCAGGCACCUGUGCUCCUGGCUACUUGGGAGGCUGAGGAGGAGAAUUGCUUGAACCUCGAAGGCAGAGGUUGCAGUAAGCCAAGACUUCACCACUGCACUCCAGCCUGGGUAGCACAGCAAGACUCCAUCUCAAAAAAAAAAAAAGAAAUUUCAUGAGAAACAACUAAUACAUCUCCAUACCUUCUAUCAGUUUUAUCAUGGACAAAAGCAGGUGUUUCCACACUAUGAAUAAGUAGUUUGCAUUUUCAAAAUUAACAAAUUGGAUCAACAACAAGGAAAAAAACCAACCACAGACAGCCCACCAGAGGACUGUUUACCAAAGAAGAUGAAGCUCACGGUGAUGGUUUGCAAACACCACCAGACUAGCUUGUGUAAAUUCCCUUCGUUUAGUCAUCGUUCUUCAGCCUGUCACAGAUACUGAAGGGAAAUGCAGAAACAGGAAAUUACAGACUAUUUUAAACAGCAUGUUUUAUUAAACUCACUUGCUGAUGCACUUUAUGGCAGGAUACGAGAUUCAAGUGUUCAUAACUUACAUAUUUGCAAGUGCUUUUCCUAAGUGAGUUCUCACAGCUAAAAUAUGGCAUGUACCCAGGGCUGGGAAAUAAUCUCCAAGCUAGUAACUGUUUCACCCCAGGUCAUGUAGCUAUAUCACAUACAAUAGAAACAUUUUACCCAUGUCAAGAGAACAUACCUUGCUUAGACACUAUAGCUAAGGAAGCAACACAGGCAUCUUGUAGUAACUUAAAAGAUCCUUAAUGCAUUUAUUUUCAACCACAGAACCAAAACACAGCAAUCUUGAAGAUGAAUCACUACAAACCAUACAUUGUGUCUUCUUUUAUUAUUUAAAUACUGAUAUCAUUCUUCUCUUCGUGGGACAGUUCUGCAUCUAGUUUAAACCAUCAUUACUAAUGCCAUGCUGAAUCCUUGUCUCUGAAAAGAUCUAGUAAAAUUGGCAGGGAUGUGGUAACCUUAACUACAAAUGAAAUGACUUCAAAUUUAAGGGGCUGUCAGAAAGAUGAAAUUUAACAACUAAUUAUUUCCAAAAACAUUUCCUGCUCACAAUUUGUUAGAAGGAUAUAAAAGUCUAGCUGCACCACAGAGGAAUCCUUAUAUCCUUGUCUUAUAAGUUGUUUCGAAGUUGAUGUCUCUUAGUGGCCAUGUCUUCUACAAGUUGUCCUCUGCUCUCCUCCUGAUACACAGAAAGGAAGUCACUAAGUGGAGCUGUAAUACAAGUUCAUAAUUGGAGAAAUGGGUAGCCAUGUCUUGAUGGAGUUAACUAUGAGCUCUAAAAAGAAGUACUUCCAUUUACCUGCUUCACCGUUUAACAAAGUAGCACGUAAAAUGUUCUAAAUUUCUGUUGUCUUAAUAAAAGAUCAUGCCGAAGAUGUUACCCUAAUUUUCAAUUCAUUGCCAGAUAGUGGCAUCUGCUGGUUUUGAAUUUUUCUCUCUUCCUCCAUGUGCCCUGUCCCUGCAAUCUUGUCCCUAGGACCCCCACAAAGUGAGGUUUAGAAUAAUAGGAUUUUGAGUGAAAAGAUGAUGUUGAGACUUUUGCCCCUUGAAAAUCUCUGCCAGACCACAUUCUAUAAUCUGCCAUUUUUAGAAAGGCAGGAUCAGAGACAAAGGUUAAUGAUUUCAUUAAUGAUAUGCACCCAGAUGCCUAGGGGAAUAGCAAUUAAAGGCACUCUUGGGGAGCAAGGCCACUUUCUUAAAUGAAAACUUCCCCUCAUUUAUCUUUUAAUAGUCUUGAUUCUGUCAUAUCAGGUUUUCCUUAAAGCAGAGCACAGCAAUGAGAGAAGGUGCUGCUUCCAGGCGGGUAGACAGUAGUGUGGGUGGAGGAUGUCUUAGCUUUUCCAAGUUGCUCAAUAUAAAACUAUAGAAUCCAGUUAAGAGAUUUAACUUACUAUGAAGGGUGUCCUGGCCGCUCUAGGAAAAUCUAAUGGAAUAUCUCAUGCAUAGAAGACAAUGUUGGGUAUAUAAGAUGUGAACACAGGGGCCGGGCACGGUGGCUGAAGCCUGUAAUCCCAGAACUUUGGGAGGCCGAGGCGGGUGAAUCACGAGGUCAAGAGAUCGAGACCAUCCUGGUCAACAUGGUGAAACCCCGUCUCUACUAAAAAUACAAAAAAUUAGCUGGGCAUGGUGGUGC
ensembl:lncRNA